UACGGGGGGGGCAAGCGUUGUUCGGAAUUACUGGGCGUAAAGGGCUCGUAGGCGGCCAACUAAGUCGGACGUGAAAUCCCUCGGCUUAACCGGGGAACUGCGUCUGAUACUGGAUGGCUUGAGUUCGGGAGAGGGAUGCGGAAUUCCAGGUGUAGCGGUGAAAUGCGUAGAUAUCUGGAGGAACACCGGUGGCGAAGGCGGCAUCCUGGACCGGCACUGACACUGAGGAGCGAAAGCCAGGGGAGCAAACGGG
rnacentral:rRNA from 1 species